UACGGAGGGUGCAAGCAUUAAUCGGAUUUAUUGGGCGUAAAGGGCGCGUAGGCGGAAAGAUAAGUCAGUUGUGAAAUCCCGGGGCUCAACCUCGGAACAGCAAUUGAAACUAUCAUUCUAGAGGAUAGAUGGAGAAAACGGAAUUCCACAAGUAGCGGUGAAAUGCGUAGAUAUGUGGAAGAACACCGGUGGCGAAGGCGGUUUUCUAAUUUAUACCUGACGCUGAGGCGCGAAAGCAAGGGGAUCAAACAGG
rnacentral:rRNA from 1 species